rnacentral:rRNA from 1 species
GCAGCACGGAGCUUGCUCUGGUGGCGAGUGGCGAACGGGUGAGUAAUAUAUCGGAACGUACCCUGGAGUGGGGGAUAACGUAGCGAAAGUUACGCUAAUACCGCAUACGAUCUAAGGAUGAAAGUGGGGGAUCGCAAGACCUCAUGCUCGUGGAGCGGCCGAUAUCUGAUUAGCUAGUUGGUAGGGUAAAAGCCUACCAAGGCAUCGAUCAGUAGCUGGUCUGAGAGGACGACCAGCCACACUGGAACUGAGACACGGUCCAGACUCCUACGGGAGGCAGCAGUGGGGAAUUUUGGACAAUGGGCGAAAGCCUGAUCCAGCAAUGCCGCGUGAGUGAAGAAGGCCUUCGGGUUGUAAAGCUCUUUUGUCAGGGAAGAAACGGUGAGAGCUAAUAUCUCUUGCUAAUGACGGUACCUGAAGAAUAAGCACCGGCUAACUACGUGCCAGCAGCCGCGGUAAUACGUAGGGUGCAAGCGUUAAUCGGAAUUACUGGGCGUAAAGCGUGCGCAGGCGGUUUUGUAAGUCUGAUGUGAAAUCCCCGGGCUCAACCUGGGAAUUGCAUUGGAGACUGCAAGGCUAGAAUCUGGCAGAGGGGGGUAGAAUUCCACGUGUAGCAGUGAAAUGCGUAGAUAUGUGGAGGAACACCGAUGGCGAAGGCAGCCCCCUGGGUCAAGAUUGACGCUCAUGCACGAAAGCGUGGGGAGCAAACAGGAUUAGAUACCCUGGUAGUCCACGCCCUAAACGAUGUCUACUAGUUGUCGGGUCUUAAUUGACUUGGUAACGCAGCUAACGCGUGAAGUAGACCGCCUGGGGAGUACGGUCGCAAGAUUAAAACUCAAAGGAAUUGACGGGGACCCGCACAAGCGGUGGAUGAUGUGGAUUAAUUCGAUGCAACGCGAAAAACCUUACCUACCCUUGACAUGG